AGAACGGCCUCAUCCAGGAGUUG
rnacentral:miRNA from 1 species